CCUACGGGAGGCAGCAGUGGGGAAUAUUGCACAAUGGGGGAAACCCUGAUGCAGCGACGCCGCGUGAGUGAAGAAGCGUUUCGGCGCGUAAAGCUCUGUCAGCGGGGAAGAAACACGGUUCGCGAGAGCCGCGGACGGUACCCGACCAAGAAGCCCUGGCUAACUACGUGCCAGCAGCCGCGGUAAUACGUAGGUGGCAAGCGUUAUCCGGAUUUACUGGGUGUAAAGGGCGUGUAGGCGGGACUGCAAGUCAGAUGUGAAAACCACGGGCUCAACCUGUGGCCUGCAUUUGAAACUGGCAGUCUCGAGUUGGAGAGAGGUAUGCGGAAUGCGCGGUGUAGCGGUGAAAUGCAUAGAUAUCGCGCAGAACUCCGAUUGCGAAGGCAGCAUGCCGGCUCCACACUGACGCUGAGGCACGAAAGCGUGGGUAUCGAACAGGAUUAGAUACCCUAGUAGUC
rnacentral:rRNA from 1 species